GACGAACGCUGGCGGCGUGCUUAACACAUGCAAGUCGAACGGAAAGGCCCUGCUUUUGUGGGGUGCUCGAGUGGCGAACGGGUGAGUAACACGUGAGUAACCUGCCCUUGACUUUGGGAUAACUUCAGGAAACUGGGGCUAAUACCGGAUAGGAGCUCCUGCUGCAUGGUGGGGGUUGGAAAGUUUCGGCGGUUGGGGAUGGACUCGCGGCUUAUCAGCUUGUUGGUGGGGUAGUGGCUUACCAAGGCUUUGACGGGUAGCCGGCCUGAGAGGGUGACCGGCCACAUUGGGACUGAGAUACGGCCCAGACUCCUACGGGAGGCAGCAGUGGGGAAUAUUGCACAAUGGGCGGAAGCCUGAUGCAGCGACGCCGCGUGCGGGAUGACGGCCUUCGGGUUGUAAACCGCUGUCGCCUGUGACGAAGCGUGAGUGGCGGUAAUGGGUAAAGAAGCGCCGGCUAACUACGUG
rnacentral:rRNA from 1 species